rnacentral:rRNA from 1 species
GAUGAACGCUGGCGGCGUGCUUAACACAUGCAAGUCGAACGAAGCAUUUAAGACAGAUUACUUCGGUUUGAAGUCUUUUAUGACUGAGUGGCGGACGGGUGAGUAACGCGUGGGUAACCUGCCUCAUACAGGGGGAUAGCAGCUGGAAACGGCUGGUAAUACCGCAUAGGCGCACAGUACCACAUGGUACAGUGUGAAAAACUCCGGUGGUAUGAGAUGGACCCGCGUCUGAUUAGCUUGUUGGCGGGGUAACGGCCCACCAAGGCGACGAUCAGUAGCCGACCUGAGAGGGUGACCGGCCACAUUGGGACUGAGACACGGCCCAGACUCCUACGGGAGGCAGCAGUGGGGAAUAUUGCACAAUGGAGGAAACUCUGAUGCAGCGACGCCGCGUGAGUGAAGAAGUAGUUCGCUAUGUAAAGCUCUAUCAGCAGGGAAGAUAGUGACGGUACCUGACUAAGAAGCUCCGGCUAAAUACGUG